rnacentral:rRNA from 1 species
ACACAUGCAAGUCGAGCGGAUGAGAGGAGCUUGCUCCUUGAUUUAGCGGCGGACGGGUGAGUAAUGCCUAGGAAUCUGCCUGGUAGUGGGGGAUAACGUUCCGAAAGGAACGCUAAUACCGCAUACGUCCUACGGGAGAAAGCAGGGGACCUUCGGGCCUUGCGCUAUCAGAUGAGCCUAGGUCGGAUUAGCUAGUUGGUGAGGUAAUGGCUCACCAAGGCGACGAUCCGUAACUGGUCUGAGAGGAUGAUCAGUCACACUGGAACUGAGACACGGUCCAGACUCCUACGGGAGGCAGCAGUGGGGAAUAUUGGACAAUGGGCGAAAGCCUGAUCCAGCCAUGCCGCGUGUGUGAAGAAGGUCUUCGGAUUGUAAAGCACUUUAAGUUGGGAGGAAGGGCAUUAACCUAAUACGUUAGUGUUUUGACGUUACCGACAGAAUAAGCACCGGCUAACUUCGUGCCAGCACCGCCGGUUAAUACAAAGGGUGCAAGGCGUUAAUCGGAAUUACUGGGCGUAAAACCGCGCGUACGCGGUUCGUUAAGUUUGGAUGUGAAAGCCCCGGGCUCAACCUGGGGAACUGCCUCCAAACCAGGCUAGCUAGAGUACGGU